CCGAGUUUACAACUCCCAAACCCAAUGUGAACGUUACCAAACUGUUGCCUCGGCGGGAUCUCUGCCCCGGGUGCGUCGCAGCCCCGGACCAAGGCGCCCGCCGGAGGACCAACCUAAAACUCUUAUUGUAUACCCCCUCGCGGGUUUUUUUAUAAUCUGAGCCUUCUCGGCGCCUCUCGUAGGCGUUUCGAAAAUGAAUCAAAACUUUCAACAACGGAUCUCUUGGUUCUGGCAUCGAUGAAGAACGCAGCGAAAUGCGAUAAGUAAUGUGAAUUGCAGAAUUCAGUGAAUCAUCGAAUCUUUGAACGCACAUUGCGCCCGCCAGUAUUCUGGCGGGCAUGCCUGUCCGAGCGUCAUUUCAACCCUCGAACCCCUCCGGGGGGUCGGCGUUGGGGAUCGGCCCUCCCUUAGCGGGUGGCCGUCUCCGAAAUACAGUGGCGGUCUCGCCGCAGCCUCUCCUGCGCAGUAGUUUGCACACUCGCAUCGGGAGCGCGGCGCGUCCACAGCCGUUAAACACCCAACUUCUGAAAUGUUGACCUCGGAUCAGGUAGGAAUACCCGCUGAACUUAAGCAU
rnacentral:rRNA from 1 species